UUAGUGGCGGACGGGUGAGUAACGCGUGGAUAACCUGCCGUACACAGGGGGAUAACACCUGGAAACAGGUGCUAAUACCGCAUAAGCGCACAGGGCCGCAUGGCCCGGUGUGAAAAACGUCCGGUGGUGUAAGAUGGACCCGCGUCUGAUUAGCUUGUUGGCAGGGUAGGGGCCCACCAAGGCGACGAUCAGUAGCCGGCCUGAGAGGGUGGACGGCCACAUUGGGACUGAGACACGGCCCAAACUCCUACGGAAGGCAGCAG
rnacentral:rRNA from 1 species